rnacentral:rRNA from 1 species
GAUGAACGCUGGCGGCGUGCCUAAUACAUGCAAGUCGAGCGAACAGACGAGGAGCUUGCUCCUCUGACGUUAGCGGCGGACGGGUGAGUAACACGUGGAUAACCUACCUAUAAGACUGGGAUAACUUCGGGAAACCGGAGCUAAUACCGGAUAAUAUAUUGAACCGCAUGGUUCAAUAGUGAAAGACGGUUUUGCUGUCACUUAUAGAUGGAUCCGCGCCGCAUUAGCUAGUUGGUAAGGUAACGGCUUACCAAGGCAACGAUGCGUAGCCGACCUGAGAGGGUGAUCGGCCACACUGGAGCUGAGACACGGUCCAGACUCCUACGGGAGGCAGCAGUAGGGAAUCUUCCGCAAUGGGCGAAAGCCUGACGGAGCAACGCCGCGUGAGUGAUGAAGGUCUUCGGAUCGUAUAACUCUGUUAUUAGGGAAGAACAAAUGUGUAAGUAACUAUGCACGUCUUGACGGUACCUAAUCAGAAAGCCACGGCUAACUACGUG